rnacentral:misc_RNA from 1 species
AACCAUAGAAACCUGCGGAGUACCUGCGGAGGGAUCAUUACAGAGUGUGACCCCCUGUAAAAAGGGGGGUACCUCCCGUCCUUUGCAGGCCCUUUAGGGUCUUUUACACUUUGCUUCGGUGGGGUAACCCACCGGAACACCCUCAAAAAUUCUGAUUUUAAAAUUGUUCAGUCUGAGAAUUUUGAAAAUAAAAUAAAAACUUUCAACAACGGAUCU